rnacentral:rRNA from 1 species
UACGUAGGGUGCAAGCGUUGUCCGGAAUUAUUGGGCGUAAAGAGCUCGUAGGUGGCCUGUCGCGUCGGCUGUGAAAACUCGGGGCUCAACUCCGAGCUUGCAGUCGAUACGGGCAGGCUAGAGUUCGGCAGGGGAGACUGGAAUUCCUGGUGUAGCGGUGAAAUGCGCAGAUAUCAGGAGGAACACCGGUGGCGAAGGCGGGUCUCUGGGCCGAUACUGACACUGAGAGACGAAAGCUAGGGGAGCGAAUGGG